CUAUAGUAGUGGGGGACAUAUUGUUUUUGCCCUGUCUGUUGGUCUGUUGGUUGGUUGGUUUGCGCCAACUUUAACAUUUGCAAUAACUUUUGCAAUAUUGAAGAUAGCAACUUGAUAUUUGGCAUGCAUAUGUAUCUCAUGGAGCUGCACAUUUUGAGUGGUGAAAGGUCAAGGUCAAGGUCAUCCUUCAAGGUCAAAGGUCAAAUAUAUGGGUCAAAAACGCUCAUUUAAUGUACACUUUUGCAGUAUUUCAAUAUUCAAGAUAGCAACUUGAUAUUUGGCAUGCAUGUGUAUCUCAUGGAGCUGCACAUUUUGAGUGGUGAAAGGUCAAGGUCAGAUGUCAAAUAUAUGUGGCCAAAAUCGCUCAUUUUAUGAAUACUUUUGCAAUAUUGAAGAUAGCAACUUGAUAUUUGGCAUGCAUGUGCAUCACAUGGAGCUGCACAUUUUGAGUGGUGAAAGGUCAAGGUCAUCCUUCAAGGUCAGAGGUCAAAUAUAUGUGGCCCAAAUCACUUAUUUUAUGAAUACUUUUGCAAUAUUGAAGAUAGCAACUUGAUAUUUGGCAUGCAUGUGUAUCUCAUGGAGCUGCACAUUUUGAGUGGUGAAAGGUCAAGGUCAUCCUUCACAAGGUCAAGGUCAUCCUUCAAGGUCAAACAUCAUAUAGGGGGACAUUGUGUUUCACAAACACAUCUUGUUCUA